rnacentral:lncRNA from 1 species
GUGGGGUUUAUGGUAUGGGCCCCAUGGUGGAGGUGGGGUUUAUGGUAUGGGCCCCAUGGUGGAGGUGGGGUUUAUGGUAUGGGCCCCAUGGUGGAGGUGGGGUUAUGGUAUGGGCCCCAUGGUGGAGAUGUGGGGAUAUGGUAUGGGCCCCAUGGUGGAGAUGUGGGGUUUGUGGUAUGGGCCCCAUGGUGGAGGUGGGGUUAUGGUAUGGGCCCCAUGGUGGAGAUGUGGGGUUUGUGGUAUGGGCCCCAUGGUGGAGAUGUGGGGUUAUGGUGUUUGUGGUAUGGGCCCCAUGGUGGAGAUGGGGUUAUGGUAUGGGCCCCAUGGUGGAGGUGGGGAUAUGGUAUGGGCCCCAUGGUGGAGCAACACUAUGUCAACUAAACAGGAUCUGAUUGGAUCGAGCCCUGGGUUUUUCUGAUUUAAAAACUAAAAUAAUUGUGUGACUUCCAGCUGUUUUUAAAUCGACAUGCACCACAGCAGGUAAUUGUUCCAUCUGUUUUCUAUGUAAAUAUCAACCCCCCACAAAAUAAGUUACUGGAAGUGUAGCUACUGAUGGUC